UCCCAGCACACCAGGAUCGACGUGUCCUCCUUCAGUCCGGACUCGGCGGAAUCUGCACCUGGGAGCCCCUCCCCAAAUGACCUGCUAGCCGCAGUCCAGGAAGCAGGCACCUGUCUUGAGAGACUGCGGUGGGCCCUGCAGGGCAGCUGCCUGCCUCUGCCUGGUUCGAGGAAGGCCCAGCCAGGCCGGCCCCAGCUUCCUUCCUGCUCUUCUGUCCCACUCCGACCCACUCCGGAGAGCCACGCUCUGAGCCGCACAUGACUCUCUCCUUCUCCACAGAACAAUCUGUGUUCUGCUCCCGCCCCCGAGAGAGUUCUGAGCUUUCCAAAUAUGGAUGCUUUUUGCAUUCCCAAAGCAUCACGAACAUUUGGGAGAAGAAAAUGAACACCAGACAUGGUUUGGAAACGAUGGAAGCCAAGGGAUGGGUGGUGACGGAACAAGCACCGUACUAGGAGUUUUAAAAUAUAAAACACGAGUCUGGCCUAGGUGAUGUCUUACAACCUUACUAGCUUUGUAGCAGUCUAGGCCCCAAAGAGAUCCUAGAAGUAAGCACCCAGACCCUAAGAAUAAAAACUACAGCGGCCACCACCACACGUUGCAGAGGCGAAAACUGCAUUAAGGAGGCCCAGAGAGUCACCUGCUGUCAGAGGAAAUGAGCAGUGGGAGGCAGUCCCUUGAGAGCCAAACAGCUUGAAAGUUGACAAAUUGAGAUGAACCAGCUCGUCGGUGAGUGUAGGCAGAAGAGGCAUUAGACACAAGAGUAUUUGUUUUUAUAUCAGGCCCAAACCAA
rnacentral:lncRNA from 1 species